rnacentral:rRNA from 1 species
CGGACGGGUGAGUAAUGUAUGGGGAUCUGCCUGAUGAGGGGGAUAACUACUGGAAACGGUAGCUAAUACCGCAUAACGUCGCAAGACCAAAGAGGGGGACCUUAGGGCCUCUUGCCAUCGGAUGUGCCCAGAUGGGAUUAGCUAGUAGGUGGGGUAACGGCUCACCUAGGCGACGAUCCCUAGCUGGUCUGAGAGGAUGACCAGCCACACUGGAACUGAGACACGGUCCAG